rnacentral:rRNA from 1 species
CCCUUAGAUGUUCUGGGCCGCACGCGCGCUACACUGAAGGGCUCAGCGUGUCCUCCUUUCCCGAGAGGGACAGGUAAUCCGCUGAACCCCCUUCGUGGUAGGGAUCGGGGCUUGCAAUUAUUCCCCGUGAACCAGGAAUUCCCAGUAAGCGCGAGUCAUAAGCUCGCGUUGAUUACGUCCCUGCCCUUUGUACACACCGCCCGUCGCUACUACCGAUUGAACGUUUUAGUGAGGUAUUUGGAUUGGAGCGGGUCGGGGCAACCCUUCCCGUCUCCGAGAAGACUCCCAAACUUGAGCGUUUAGAGGAAGUAAAAGUCGUAACA